UACGUAGGUGGCAAGCGUUAUCCGGAUUUACUGGGUGUAAAGGGAGCGUAGACGGCACUGCAAGUCUGGAGUGAAAGCCCGAGGCCCAACCACGGGACUGCUCUGGAAACUGCGGGGCUGGAGCGCAGGAGGGGUAAGCGGAAUUCCUAGUGUAGCGGUGAAAUGCGUAGAUAUUAGGAGGAACACCGGUGGCGAAGGCGGCUUACUGGACUGUAACUGACGUUGAGGCUCGAAGGCGUGGGGAGCGAACAGG
rnacentral:rRNA from 1 species